rnacentral:rRNA from 1 species
UCCGUCCUACGGGACGCAGCAGUAGGGAAUCUUCCACAAUGGGCGAAAGCCUGAUGGAGCAACGCCGCGUGGGUGAAGAAGGUCUUCGGAUCGUAAAACCCUGUUGUUAGAGAAGAAAGUGCGUGAGAGUAACUGUUCACGUUUCGACGGUAUCUAACCAGAAAGCCACGGCUAACUACGUGCCAGCAGCCGCGGUAAUACGUAGGGGGCGAGCGUUGUCCGGAAUUACUGGGCGUAAAGAGAGCGUAGGCGGCACUACAAGUCUCAUGUGAAAUACCCGGGCUUAACUUGGGGGUUGCAUGGGA